rnacentral:rRNA from 1 species
UACAGAGGUCCCAAGCGUUGUUCGGGUUCACUGGGCGUAAAGGGUGCGUAGGUGGCUACUUUAAGUUUGAUGUGAAAGCUCCGGGCUCAACCCGGAAAUGGCAUUGAAGACUAUUGAGCUAGAGGUUUGGAGGGGGGACUGGAAUGCUUGGUGUAGCAGUGAAAUGCGUAGAUAUCAAGCGGAACACCGGUGGCGAAGGCGAGUCCCUGGACAACACCUGACACUGAGGCACGAAAGCUAGGGGAGCAAACAGG